UAAACCUGCCUCUUAGCGGGGGAUAACUAUUGGAAACGAUAGCUAAUACCGCAUAAAAGUCGACAUUGCAUGAUGUUGACUUGAAAGGUGCAAAUGCAUCACUAAGAGAUGGACCUGCGUUGUAUUAGCUAGUUGGUGAGGUAACGGCUCACCAAGGCGACGAUACAUAGCCGACCUGAGAGGGUGAUCGGCCACACUGGGACUGAGACACGGCCCAG
rnacentral:rRNA from 1 species